rnacentral:rRNA from 1 species
UGGGGAAUCUUGCGCAAUGGGCGAAAGCCUGACGCAGCAACGCCGCGUGCGGGAUGAAGGCCUUCGGGUUGUAAACCGCUUUCAGUGGGGACGAACCAAGACGGUACCCACAGAAGAAGCCCCGGCCAACUACGUGCCAGCAGCCGCGGUAACACGUAGGGGGCAAGCGUUGUCCGGAUUCAUUGGGCGUAAAGAGCUCGUAGGCGGUUCGAUAAGUCGGGUGUGAAACCUCCAGGCUCAACCUGGAGACGCCACCCGAUACUGUCGUGACUAGAGUCCAGUAGGGGAGCGUGGAAUUCCUGGUGUAGCGGUGAAAUGCGCAGAUAUCAGGAGGAACACCAGCGGCGAAGGCGGCGCUCUGGGCUGGAACUGACGCUGAGGAGCGAAAGCGUGGGGAGCGAACAGGAUUAGAUACCCCGGUAGUCCCUGAGCGGGCUGGCAAGGCGCAU